AAGAGCACAUAGGAGCAGGUGGGGAGGCGUAUAAAAGCUCCAUCAUAGUCGUAGCUCAGUAUACCUGUUACUGCCUUAGAGGUGGACAACUGUACCAUCAUCUCGCUGCAACGCUUCUCAAGAGGUCAUGAGUAUCUUCCUGAGGCUGUGCUUUGUGCUGUUCGUGUUGUCAACUGUUGCUGCAAAUUGUGGCGAAGUAAUAGACCUAUCACAUCUGUGUCCGGAUCCUUGCGAAGAGUCUCCCUGUAAGCCACACCAGCGCUGCGUGCCGCAAAAGGUGGUGUGCAUCAACUCGUACUGCUGCGACAUUGCGAAGUGCGUGGCUGCCGACAAGUCUGAAAAAAAGAGCCGGCCGAAAGAUUCUACUAACCCAUCUGUAUACUAAAUAAACUGCUAAUAACGCUGUA